CUAAAGUAUCGGGGGUGGCAGAGUGGAGGAGGUGGCAUCUGAGCUGGCUCUAGACUCUGAAACAUGACCGCUCUGGAGUAGUUCCCCCAUCCACAAAUUUAUGCAGUCGAGUUUCCUCGAAUUUAGGGUCAAUACACACGGAGUGCAAUGGAUUAACCUCACUCUGGAGAAAUCACCUGCAUAAUCAUGGUAUCUCCCCUUCCAGGAUUUUGUGCAAUGACAAGACCAAGACUGAGCCACCUGUAGUGUUGGAUGCUCCCAUGUAAGGGCAUGGAGGGGGCCAGAAGCUGAUUCCACAACAGGUCAGACAAAUCCAAAAUG
rnacentral:lncRNA from 1 species